AUAAAUGUAAAACCAUGGCAUCUAGCAAUAUUCGAUCCAUUUUCCAUAGGAGAUUCUGUUUAUGUAGGGGGCCCUUAUUCUUCAUAUAUAUAUAUAUCUCUUCAUACAUAAAAAAAUUAAUAAAAUAGAGCAAAGAGUCUCAAUUUCACUAGGUAAUAAAGAAAUGGAAUAUGGAUCAAAUAGUAAGUACUACCUUAUUUCCACUGCUGAAAAUAGGACAGUGGGGGUGUACCUGGGUGGCUCAGUUGGUUAAGCAUCCAACUUCGGCUCAAGUCAUCAUCUCACAUUUCAUGAGUUUGAGCCCCACGUCAGGCUCUGUGCAGACAGCUCAUUGCCUGGGGCCUCCUUCGGAUUCUCUGUCUCCCUCUCUCUCUGCCCCUGCCCCCCUUGUGCUCUAUGUCUGUCUCUCUCUCUCAAAAAUAAACACUUAAAAAAAAAUUUUUUUUAAAAAGAACAUGGAAAAACAAAAACUCACGGUACAUGGAGUCCAGUUACAAAAUGUGUUCCAAUGCUUCCUGUUGGUAUAACCCAGUGGUUCCCAAAACUGACCACUUGGUGUUGGCAAGAUGCUACCACAAAGUCUCACCAUCUUGCCUCGGCCUGUCCACAGCCCAACUGCUCAACCUCUAGCACUGCAAGCAUUUGUUGCCCUUGCCCCAGCUUACCUGCCAUAAUAUCCUUUUGAAAUGCAAGGACUCCUUCUGUCGUGCGUUUGCUGAACUCCUGAAUUCAGUCUAUGUAUCUGCUGGGUCUGAGGACUCCCAUUUAUACAAAAUUUUGACGUAGUAUAGUCCCUGCCCUACCCCGCCCUAAUGUCACACCCUCUGGUAAUCCAUUCAACACGUGCUCCUUGAGAACCUGUUCUGUGCCCCAUGCUGUGCAGGGCCCUGGGAUAAAGCGGUGAUUCCAGACUUCAUCUCUGACCUCAAAUGGUGGAGGAAAACAAAUGGAAGUCAAAAUGGAUAAAAUGUUCAAAAAUUUCACUCUGGGAAAAAGAGAAAACACGCAGGAUACAGAGAGAAACAGUAAACUGGGAAGGCAAUUGAAUCCAGAAGGUGAAGGAUGAGCUCUGUGCGUUGGGCAGCUACUGAAACCCUGUAAUGCAGGUCUGGCACUGGUUUUACAGAUGACGACCAUAAGGGACAGACGUCUCAAGGAACUGGUUCCUACCCCUGAGCUAACAAGUGGCAUAAUCAGGUUCUGAAUCCAGCCGAUCCGGGUCCAACAUUUCCCGCCUUAAUUGCAAUGGUAUUCAUUGUUAUCAGCCUCUCAUCUGAUCUUGAGGCUUGUGCAUCUCGACUUCUGAUCUCAUCGUGACUAUCUCAAAGGAUCACUAAAUCUCCAAAGUCAAAGUCCCGCUUGCUCGGGGAACCAGUCCCCUUCCCUCCAGGUAGGUCAGGCGUGGCCUUUCCCCAUCUCUGUCAGAUCCUAGACCCAGUUCUCAACGUCUCCCAGUGGUGGGAGCCAGGACUCAGUGCCCUGCCCCCCAACACCCCAUUCUCCAGGAUGUAGUAAGAGGUUUUCUUUCAAAUGCACAUCGAAGCAUGUCACACCCUCUCAUCACACGCCAGUGUGAUAUUUCCUUGCUUUAUCAGCUCAGAGGACCUAAAAGUAGCAACACUCCAGUAGUAACAGUCACACCCACCACCCAGAUCAAACACAAGGAGUGAGUGACAGGGUCACAUCUUAAAAGACAUUUGUAACAAUAUCCUUACAUAGUACUUAUUACAUGGCCAAAAUCCUUUCCCAAUUUCAGACAACUAAACCAAGGAUGUCAGGUAUCUGUCAACUGCCGCAGAAUUAUAAUGGUGGCUGUGGGGGGCGGCGGGGGGGGGGGGGGGAGGGAGGGUUACUUUGUAAUUUGAGGAACGUAAAGUGAAAAGUUGCCCUCAAAGAAUGCCUUUUCCUUCCCGUAGGCAAAGAUUUAUUUGCGAGACUUUUCCAGUUUCUGUGGGCAGACACAAGUUUGGAAAUGAAUUGUCAGGGUUUUAGACCAAGGAGGAUAGCAUUUGUUAGAACAAGCGCAAUUCAUACACAUGGAUAACAGUGACCAGACUCCUUGUCUUGCUGUUGUUCGAGAUAACAAAAUAGCAAAGCGUUCCAAAAUGUAUUGGCUUCAAACAGUAAUUUAUGAUUCCCUCGUCCAGUUUUGCAGGUGUAAUACGCCCAUGGGUUGUGCACCGUGUGGUUUUUAUCAGAUCACAGUGGGGACUCAAGUUUUCGGAAGGAUACACCAGGCUGGGCUUCCACAUGGAUGUGUUUGCUCACAUCUCACACUUCACUUGGUAUGGCUAGACCACGGCUGUCUUAGACUUCCUCAAAUCCCAAGGAUCUCAUGGUUUCUGGACUUAAUGGUGACUGGCUUCUACCAUAGUGAGCCUAUAUGCUAUCCAGUCUCCUCCAUUUUUCUUGCUUCUUCCAGCUAACUAACCCCCACAGGGAAGUGGGGUUAACACAACUGAAAUGUCUGGGUUUUUUUUUUUUUUUUUUUUUUUUGAAUGGUGCUUUUGUGAAUGAUCACAGCUUCUUUCUUGAAGCUUGAAACACCUGGAAAUAAAGGAACAGUAUAUUCC